rnacentral:lncRNA from 1 species
GAUAAUGCCAACAAAUAAGAAAUCAAAGUGGACAAGAAACUGAUUUUUAUAUUUAACAGAUUAUACAUUCAAGGAAGAUGACAGCAAUCAAACUUGGUUAAUGUUGACCAAGGAUUUAAAUAUCGGUGCCCAUAAUCAUACCAAACACUUGCUGGCACAUUAUGUCUGUGUGCCAUGCGGAACAUUUUUAAUUUGGUAUGAAAGCAAAAAAAAAUAAAAAACUUAAAAUUUUCUUUAGAUAAAAAAUUAAGAAUGGAUUUAAUAGG